AUUGAACGCUGGCGGCAUGCCUUACACAUGCAAGUCGAACGGUAACAGGUCUUCGGAUGCUGACGAGUGGCGAACGGGUGAGUAAUACAUCGGAACGUGCCCGAUCGUGGGGGAUAACGAGGCGAAAGCUUUGCUAAUACCGCAUACGAUCUACGGAUGAAAGCGGGGGAUCUUCGGACCUCGCGCGGACGGAGCGGCCGAUGGCAGAUUAGGUAGUUGGUGGGAUAAAAGCUUACCAAGCCGACGAUCUGUAGCUGGUCUGAGAGGAUGAUCAGCCACAUUGGGACGGAGACAGGGCCCAGAUUCCUACGGGAGGCAGCAGUGGGGAAUUUUGGACAAUGGCGAAAGCCUGAUCCAGCCAUGCCGCGUGCAGGAUGAAGGCCUUCGGGUUGUAAACUGCUUUUGUACGGAACGAAAAGCCUCUUUCUAAUAAAGAGGGGUCAUGACGGUACCGUAAGAAUAAGCACCGGCUAACUACGUG
rnacentral:rRNA from 1 species